rnacentral:rRNA from 1 species
GCAGUCGCCGCGGGAAUACGUAGGGGGCAAGCGUUAUCCGGAAUUACUGGGUGUAAAGGGAGCGUAGACGGUUAAACAAGUCUGAAGUGAAAUGCCGGGGCUCAACCCCGGAGCUGCUUUGGGAACUGUAGAACUGGAGUGUCGGAGGGGUAAGCGGAAUUCUCAGUGUAGCGGUGAAAUGCGUAGAUAUUGGGAGGAACACCGGCGGCGAAGGCGGCUUACUGGACGACAACUGACGUUGAGGCUCGAAGGCGUGGGUAGCAAACAGGAUUAGAUACCCCCGUAGUCCCUGUCUCUUAUAA